GGAAUUGGUCAAGUCCGGAGAGAGGGCGGGGCCUUGGCGCGCGCGGGAGCCGGGAGUGGGGUCCCCCGGGCUUUCUCUCUUAGCCCCGCCUCCUUCCCGGCUCCAGCUGGGGCCGGCGAGCCUGAGUGGUGGCUACGCUGCUCGCUGGCCUCUCACUCUUCCCAGCAACCGGUGACACUGCCCGCGCGAGACUGACCACUAGCCGGCGCGGGCGAGAGGGACAGGAGCGUGACCUCCCCAUCCCGAGGGGCCGGACGCUCGGGCGCCUUCCCGCUCCCCCAACUCGGAGGCCGCGCGCGCCGUUACCCCCUUCCUCGCUCCCCCGCCCCAGUCCCGCAAUCCGGGAGGCGGGGGUCGGCAGCCGGCUGAGUGGGAACCGCGCGGUGUCUGAGGAGCCAGUCGGCGACCGGUUUCUACUUCAAGCGUGAUCCCCUUGCUUGUGGGAUGAGCUCCAGCAUGGGGUGAGGUACAGAAGAGAGACUCGAAGAGCCUGCCUUGGGACUUAAGCGCCAAACCUGCACCCUAGCAAGUGUCUUACUCCACAUCCGUAAUGGAAGGAAAUGAUGUCUGGAAUUUAAAAUACUCUAGAGCUUCUCUCAACCAAAAAAAAAAAAAAAACGUGGAGUCGUGGUGUGGAUGAAACAAGAAUGGUAAAAUGCACAUCCUACUCCAGAGGCACAAGAGGAGGACAUCCCAUGCUGGCUACUCCUGCCCAGCGUGGUGGGGGAGCAGAAGCUCCAGAGCCCAGACUUGCAGGCUCACGGUGCAGGGUGAACCUGGCCACAGCUCACCUCUGGAACAGCCGCAGUGUCUGCCCUUAGAGAAGAACCCUGAAAUCAGACCAGUUUUUGCGGCCUCCCCCUUUCCUCUCUGUUACAGUGCCCUUUCCAGGCCUUAAGAGAAGUAAAACUUAGCCACAGCGUCAGGAGGUGGACGUGGACCCCCGAAUGUGAGUGGCACGGUUC
rnacentral:lncRNA from 1 species